UAGGGAAUAUUGGUCAAUGGAUGCAAGUCUGAACCAGCCAUGCCGCGUGCAGGAAGAAGGCCUUAUGGGUUGUAAACUGCUUUUGCCAGGGGAUAAAAUGGGCUUGCGAGCCUAAUUGAAGGUACCUGGUGAAUAAGCCACGGCUAACUACGUGCCAGCAGCCGCGGUAAUACGUAGGUGGCAAGCGUUGUCCGGAUUUAUUGGGUUUAAAGGGUGCGUAGGCGGUUCUUUAAGUCAGUGCUGAAAUACUCCAGCUUAACUGGAGGGGUGGCAUUGAUACUGGGGAACUUGAGUGUAGUCGAGGUAGGCGGAAUUGACGGUGUAGCGGUGAAAUGCUUAGAUAUCGUCAAGAACACCGAUAGUGAAGACAGCUUACUAGACUACAACUGACGCUGAGGCACGAAAGUGUGGGGAUCAAACAG
rnacentral:rRNA from 1 species